rnacentral:lncRNA from 1 species
UGCACAUAGAUAGCAGAACUGAUGUGCAAAGCAUAAGCAAGGUACAUAAUGCUGCUUCCUGUAUACUGUAAUACCAGUUGUGCAUUCUUAAAAUUUAGAAAUUGAACUGAGAACUGUAAUUAAAUCAAAUGGAUGAUAACCUGCAUAAGGGUGAAACUUUGUGGAGAUUUUCUUACUUCGCAUGGAUCAAAGUUUCUCCUUUGUGUGUAGCCGCGAAGUCUGGCACAUCUCCAUUUAUGAUUGGAGGUUGUAUCUUUUUCUUGUCUUGAAGUUUCAUUCUCCUUCCAAUCUUGCCAUUUUUGUUGAUUGUCUCGACUUGCAUCAAUAAGAUAACAAUUUAAAAUACGUUUUAUCGUUGAAGCUAAAAUUAAUUAGGAACCUCCAACGCCUAACUGGAACUGUUGCAUUUUUUGUUUUAAUUUUGUUGUGAUAGCACACACAAAAUAUUCAUCAUUAGUAACGGAUCACCUUGUUGGAUUACAUAUAUGUUUUGUUUUAACCAUCUUGGCAGGUUUCUAACCUUCCUUGUUAUGUGGCCCAUCUUUUCUUUUCAUUGUUGAUUCCUGCACAUUAGAGAGUGCAAAUAUAAAGCUAAAGCUCUCUUUUCAAUCCAAUGAAAUGCAAGCUCUUUUGCGUUUUCUUGAAAAAAUCAAAUAAAGCUAAAGUGGAUGGUAUUAUAAUAUUAUUACAGACAGUGGUGGACCUAGAGAUCGUGCUUUGCUGUGGCGAUGGACGACGAUAAAUAUCAUGGCGGUGCUCCCGCUGGUCAUUGGACAGGGGAGUACCCUUCUCGGCCGCUUGAGACCUUGACCAGCUGCCCCGCUUGAUGGUGGGUGUGCUACUAUUACAUAUUAAUGCUCAAGUUUAUGAAUAUUCAUUAUUUUUAUUACUUUUCACCCUAUAAAUAAUUUUUUGGUCGUACAAGUAAAGGAGAUCAAUUUUCGAGACCAGUGUUUUGCAGAAAUCUUUAAUGAUAAAGAGGAACUUCAGUUUCAAUCAUCAUGUGAAUACACAAAUAUCAUGAGUAUUUUUUAGUAGAAGCCGACCGAAGCAAUCUCUACCUGAUUAAUGAGGUGCUCCCUCCGUUCCAAAAUAGAUGACACAACUUUGUACUAAAGUUAGUACAAAGUUGGGUCAUCUAUUUUGGAACGGAGGGAGUACUUUAUUAGACAAAAUUACCGAGGUACUCAUGCAAAGUAUUAUGUGAACCAUUAUCUAAUCUACAAACUCCAAGUGAUUACCAUACUGCACUAUCAUGUACUUCUUAAUUGAUUUGAGGCCUAUGGAAGCCAUCCCACAACCCAAAAUAUAGUAGAGGAUCACCCUAGAAUAAGAUUUUAGUUUAGCACUGCCCAGAGUAAUUGAGGGUCUCCAUUUGUUUUUCAUUUUUUUUGUGGGGGUAUAGUGGGCGACAUCCUCUCAUUAUCCAUUAAUAGGUCUGAUCUAUAAUUUCAUGCAGAUCGUACAUACUGGAGGUGAUCUAGUUGCUCAACGGAGCCGGCUGGUGCCCAAUGCCGAAGUGCCACUGGUUGGAGGAAGUUGACCUUAAAGUGUUGUUCAAUGGAGGAAGAUGAUGUACAAGGUUGUUCGGAUGCCGAGAGAUUUUUUAUAUGCAUGCAACCAUGAGAUUUUGGUCCUAUCUAGAGAUAUUCUGUUUGGAGAGAUCAAAUCUCUGCAAAUUUCUGAGAGUUUGGAUUUGUUUGGAGGGAUGGCAUCUUUGUACAGUUUUUUUGUGGGCAGGAUCUUCAGAGUUUGGUCAUGUUUCUUACCCUGUACGCCCUAUUUUUUUAUUACAUGGGAUGGUCUGAUCGCUCGUGGGAUGGUGCAGCCUGUUUUUUAUUAGUUGAUGGUCCAGCUUAUCAUGAGUUUGUGUA